rnacentral:rRNA from 1 species
GUGUACAGCCAUGCCACCCUGAACAAGCCUGAUGUCUGAUCUCGGAAGCUAAGCAGAGUCGGGCCUGGUUAGUACUUGGAUGGGAGACCACCUAGGAAGACCAGGUGCUGUAGGCA